rnacentral:rRNA from 1 species
UAGAGGUCCGCCUGCCAGUGACCAUAUGUUUAACGGCCGCGGUACUUUGACCGUGCAAAGGUAGCGCAAUCACUUGUCUUUUAAAUGAAGACCUGUAUGAAUGGCACGACGAGGGCUUAACUGUCUCCUUUUUCCAGUCAAUGAAAUUGAUCUUCCCGUGCAGAAGCGGGAAUAACACCAUAAGACGAGAAGACCCUGUGGAGCUUUAGACGCUAUAUCAGACCUUGUCAACCACCCUUAUUAAAGGAUUAAACACUAAGAGGAAGACUGACUUGAUGUCUUCGGUUGGGGCGACCCCGGGGAAAGAAAAAACCCCCGCGUGGAACAGGAAUACUUCAUUCCCAAAACUUAGAACCACUAUUCAAAGUAUCAGAAAUUCUGACCAAUUACAUGAUCCGGCCUUCCGCCGAUCAACGGACCUAGUUACCCCAGGGAUAACAGCGCAAUCCUCUUUUAGAGCCCAUAUCGACAAGAGGGUUUACGACCUCGAUGUUGGAUCAGGACAUCCUAAUGGUGCAGCCGCUAUUAAGGGUUCGUUUGUUCAACGAUUAAAGUCCUACGUGAUCUG